GGUGGGAACUCUAGGGAGACUGCCGGUGAUAAACCGGAGGAAGGUGGGGAUGACGUCAAGUCAUCAUGGCCCUUACGGCCAGGGCCACACACGUGCUACAAUGGGCGGUACAAAGGGUUGCGAACCCGCGAGGGGGAGCCAAUCCCAAAAAGCCGCUCGCAGUCCGGAUUGGAGUCUGCAACCCGGCUCCAUGAAGUCGGAAUCGCUAGUAAUCGCGGAUCAGCACUGCCGCGGUGAAUACGUUCCCGGGCCUUGUACACACCGCCCGUCACACCAUGGGAGUUGGCGGCACCAGAAGCAGGUGGCUUAACCUUCGGGAGGGCGCUUGCCACGGUGUGGUCAAUGACUGGGGUGAAGUCGUAACAAGGUAGCCGUAGGGGAAUCUGC
rnacentral:rRNA from 1 species